rnacentral:other from 1 species
CAGAAGCUGCGUUGUACGUAAUGAUAAUAAAGUUUUAACCUUUAAGCUGAUAUAGGGAGUUUUACAUUGAAACCGGAAUGUCAUGCCUCCACGCAAGAGGACGACAGGAUUGUUUCUGCAAACACCCACUUUGAGGAGUGGUGGUUUAAAACUUUCUUACGUUCAUACGGCAAAUGCAGCUCCUUA